UAAAUAAACAUUUCAACAAAGAAGACAUACAGAUGGCCAGCAGGCACAUGAAAAAAUGCUCAACAUCACUAAUUAUUAGAGAAAUGCAAAUCAAAACUACAGUGAGGUACCACUUCACACCAGUUAGAGUGGCUACCCUUAACAAGUCAACAAAUGCUGGAGAGGAUGUGGAGAAAAGGGAAACCUCCUACACUGUUGGUGGGAAUGUAGAUUGGUACAACCACCAGGGAAAACAGUAUGGGGGUACCUCAGAAAACUAAAUAUAGAAAUACCAUAUGACCCAGCAAUCCCAUUCUGGGCAUAUAUCCAGAUGAAAAUUUCAUUGAAAAAGAUACAUGCCAGGAGUUCCCGUCGUGGUGCAGAGCAAACGAAUCCCUAGGAACCGUGAGGUUUAGGGUUCGAUCCCUGGCCUCGAUCAGUGGGUUAAGGAUCCGGCGUUGCUGUGGCUGUGGUGUAGGCCAGCAGCAACAGCUCUGAUUGGACCCCUGGCCUGGGAACCUCCAUAUGCCACAGGUGCAGCCCUAAAAAGACAAAAAAAGACCAAAAAAAAAAAAAAAAAAAAGAUACAUGCACCCGCAUGUUCAUUGCAGCACUGUUCACAAUAGCCAAGACAUGGAAGCAACCUAAAUGCCCAUCGACGGAUGAAUGGAUUAGGAAGAUGUGGUAUAUAUAUACAAUAGAAUACAGCCAUAAAAAAGGACAAAAUAAUGCCAUUUUCAGCAAGAUGGGUGAAACUAGAGACUCUGAUACUGAGUGAAAUAAGAAAGAGAAAGACACCAUAUGAUAUCACUUAUAUGUGAAGUCUAAAAUAUGGCACAGAUGAUCUGUCUACAAAACAGAAAAGGUCAUGGCCAUGUAGGACAGACUCAUGUUUCCCAGGGGGUGGCAGGGGAGGAGGGAAUGGGGUGGAUUGGGAGUCUGGGGUUAUUAGAUGAAAACUCUUGCAAUUAGAGUGGUUGGGCAAUGAGAUCUUGCUGUAUAGCACAGGGAACUAUAUAUCUAAUCUCUCGUGAUGGAACAUGAUGGAGGAUAAUGUGAGAAAAAGAAUGUAUGUAUAUGCAUGACUGGGUCACUUUGCUGUAUGGCAGAAAUUGACAAUAUUUUAAUCACAGUAAAAAUAAAAUUGUCAAAAGAAAAAUAACCAAGAAUUCUAGAUUUAAAAAAAUAUUUUUAAAAGUCUUGGAAGCAUUAAUUGGAAAAAAAAAUCAAGAAAUUCUCAAAGAAGAAGUUGAGUAAAAGUGGGGAUCCAGGUAGUAAGUCAAAGCACUUCUGCAGCUGGCCUCAACCUGAAGUCAUUUGUUGAACCAGGGGAACUUGACUUUGGUUUUCACAGGCUCUGGUACAUGAUUACAGUAAGCAAAUCUCAGUCUUCCUAAAUCAUCUAGUAUAUGAUCUUCUCAUAGAAACAGAGCCCCAAGGCCUGUGCCUGUAGUAUAAAGAUGAAGUAAAAAUAAUCCUACUCUACUCAGGGAACCACAAGAAACCUAAGUUUUAACUAAAAGGGAAAUUACUGCUCACAUUGGGAAACCACAAGGCUUCACACACGUUUGCAACUUGAAUGCACAGUAUUAGGUGUUGUGGCAAAAACUUCAAGCUGAGAAUUUAGUGUCCCUCCAGAACAGAUGUACCCCAUGAUGCCUGGCAGAUGUAAAUGCAUUUUCACUCCGGAAAAACUUACAUUCACUCUAGAAAAAAAAAAAAUUAAGGAAAUGAACUGCUCAGAGUAAAACAAAAAACUCCACAGUUUGUGAUGGUCAACAGGAAAAAACAAUGAAACAACAAACCCCCCACCCCAGGGACUUCAGAUAAUGAAAUUAUCAGAGACAAGAUUAUGAAAUGACCAUCUUAGCAUGUUUAAUGAAGUGAAAGACUGAAAAAAUACAUACAGGGAACAAGGAAUUAUAAAGUAUAUCCAAAUAAAUACUGAAAGGUACCAAGUAGACCUUGUAGAAAUAAAAAUGAUUGAAACAUUGAAAACUAUAUACAGGUUUAACUGCAAAUUACACACAGAUCUGAAAGUUAAUGAACAAGAUAAAUGUUUUGCCAACUUUGUGUGCAAAUUACAUGGGGAUAUUAAAAGGCAGAUUCUGAUUCUGUAGGUGUAAAGUUGGGCUUGAAAUUUUGCAUUUCAGGAGGUGAGAAGGAUCCUCCAAAUUCAAGAACUACACAGUGAAUAGCAAGGUAUCUCAGGAUAAAAAAGAAAUUAACUAAAAUGCAGAUCAAAAAUAAAAUGAGAUGAAAAAUAUAAACAAGAGGUUAUGAAACAUGGGUGAUAGAGAACAUCUAAUAUAUUCCUAACUGGAGUCCCAGAAGAAAGGACAAGAAAAUUUGGGAAAGAGACAAUAUUCAGAGAAUAUUGGCUGAGAAUUUUUCAAAACCAAUGAAAGGUAUUAUCCCACAGAUUCAGGAAGGUAAUAAAUUCCAAACACAAAUAAAUUUAUACCUUGACUUAUCAGAGUAAGACUUUAGAACACCAAAAAUAAAGAGGAAACUGUUAAAAUCAAAGAGAAAAUGGUUAUCUUCAAAGUUUGAUGGUUAAACGGACAGAUGAUCUCUUAGCAGCAGUCAGUGCAAGCCAAAAAUGACACUUCAGUGUACACUGGAAGAAAAGUAACCUGAAACAGUACCAAGUAGAAACAUCUUUCAAGUAUGAAAGUAAAAUAUAUUUUCAUUUAAACAAAAACAGAAGUUUGCCCCCAGUAAACAUACCUUCACUAGAAGAUGGUAUAAAUCAGAUGGAAGAAAUCCCACAUGGAAGAGCUCAGAUGUGAGAUAGAGAAAGGCCACAGAGAGUAACUGAUUAGCAGAUGUUGACUAAAUAAACAAACAAUGCAUUGUGGAGUUUUCAAAAAGAAAAAAAAGAAAAUCACAUGAGUGGCAUGUGAGUGGGGAGGAAAUGAUGAAUAGGCUUUAUUGGUAAAAACAUCAAUCAACUUUAGAUUGCAUGUUACCAUUAUUGGGAAAAAAAAAUAGAGGAGUUCCCAUUGUGGCACAGCAGAAACAAAACCGACUAGUAACCAUGAGGUUGCAGGUUCUAUCCCUGGCCUUGCUCAGUGGGUUAAGGAUCCAGUGUUGCUCUGAGCUGUAGUGUAGGUCGCAGACGCAGCUCGGAUCCUGCAUUGCUGUGGCUGUGGCGUAGGCCGGCAACUGUAGCUCUGAUUUGACCCCUAGCCUGGGAACUUCCAUAUGCCGAGGUU
rnacentral:lncRNA from 1 species